GACGAACGCUGGCGGCGUGCUUAAUACAUGCAAGUCGAACGGAAAGGCCCUGCUCUUGUGGGGUGCUCGUGUGGCGAACGGGUGAGUAACACGUGAGUAACCUGCCCCUGACUUUGGGAUAACUUCAGGAAACUGGGGCUAUUACCGGAUAGGAGCUACUGCAGCACGGUGGGGGAUGGAAAGUUUCGGCGGUUGGGGAUGGAAUCGAGGCUUAUCAGCUUGUUGGUGGGGUAGUGGCUUACCAAGGCUUUGACGGGUAGCCGGCCUGAGAGGGUUACCGGCCACAAGGGGACUAAGAGACGGCCCAGACUCCUACGGGAGGCAGCAGGGGGAAGUAUUGCACAACAGCCGGAAGCCUGAUACGACAACGCCGCGUUCGGGAAGACGUCCUUCGAGUUGUAAACCGCUGUCGCCUGUGACGAAGCGGGAGUGACGGUAAUUGGUAAAGAAGCACCGGCUAACUACGUG
rnacentral:rRNA from 1 species